AGCGAACGCUGGCGGCAGGCCUAACACAUGCAAGUCGAACGAACUCUUCGGAGUUAGUGGCGGACGGGUGAGUAACACGUGGGAACGUGCCUUUAGGUUCGGAAUAACUCAGGGAAACUUGUGCUAAUACCGAAUGUGCCCUUCGGGGGAAAGAUUUAUCGCCUUUCGGGCGGCCCGCGUCUGAUUAGCUAGUUGGUGAGGUAAAGGCUCACCAAGGCGACGAUCAGUAGCUGGUCUGAGAGGAUGAUCAGCCACAUUGGGACUGAGACACGGCCCAAACUCCUACGGGAGGCAGCAGUGGGGAAUCUUGCGCAAUGGGCGAAAGCCUGACGCAGCCAUGCCGCGUGAAUGAUGAAGGUCUUAGGAUUGUAAAAUUCUUUCACCGGGGACGAUAAUGACGGUACCCGGAGAAGAAGCCCCGGCUAACUUCGUG
rnacentral:rRNA from 1 species